rnacentral:rRNA from 1 species
AACGAACGCUGGCGGCAUGCCUAACACAUGCAAGUCGAACGGGAUCCUGGUUUCGGCCAGGUGAGAGUGGCGGACGGGUGAGUAACGCGUGGGAACCUGCCCAGUGGUGGGGGAUAACUGCGGGAAACUGCAGCUAAUACCGCAUGAGCCCGAAAGGGGAAAGAUUGAUCGCCAUUGGAGGGGCCCGCGUUCGAUUAGGUAGUUGGUGAGGUAACGGCUCACCAAGCCUUCGAUCGAUAGCUGGUCUGAGAGGAUGAUCAG